CGACUCUUGGAUUUUCAAAGUAUGAGUUCAUCACAUUUGUCCAGCACGGAAAUUCUUUGCACAAAAUCAUUAGGUGAUCGCCAAAAGCAGAUACAGCGUGAUUUUUUAGACACGGCCAUUGUACAACUGCAUGAAUGAGAUGGGCUAUAUCAGUUCUCAGUUGAGUAUUUAGCUGCAAAUGCCGUGUUGUAGAGCCUUGCCCAUAUCUGUCACUACCUCUCUGGGUAACUUGGCACCGGAUGCCUGCCAUUCUCUCAGCCAGUAGCAAAGGAAGUUGCUGUUAUUUUUUUCGGACAACACU